CAUGGUUUCAUGCCCAAAACAGUUUAAUUGAAUUAGGCUGUGUGGCUGGUCUAUUUCAAACAGUCGAAAUACUGUUCGAAUUACCAAACGUAAUGGUUGAUGAACAUAGUCAGUGUGUGUCCCUUGUUCGUGGGCUUCGACUCACCGAACGCCGUUUCACUCCUGUUCGAAUAGCCUGAGUUCCAUGGAAAGUAACUGUUCAGCUGUGUUCGUGCCGUUGCGUGUCCGAUUUGAGUUCCAUUGUGCCGGAACCAGCCUCGCCACUGGGCAUUGGAGAAGACUGAUUGCCAGCCUCCUGCCCUGCGACUAUGGCCCUGGGAUGUAUUGCCCUUCUAGGAACUGAUUUGGGCAUAUUGUAUUUUAUAAUGCUGCUGCUGGC